UAACGGAUUAUUUUGGUUUCCGAAAUCAUUUUGGGGUUAAUUUUGUUACUAUGUAGUUAGAAUACUAUACCCCAUAUAGGACAUGAUUAAAAGUGACCUUGUUGUACUUCAGAUUUCCACUCGUAAUAAUUUAUGCCUUGAUUAUCUAACUUAAGAUCGUCUACUACCUCUUCCAACUGCUUUGUAGAUUGCAUUGACAUUUCAUAAGC